CACGAACGCUGGCGGCAUGCCUAACACAUGCAAGUCGAACGAGAUCUUCGGGUCUAGUGGCGCACGGGUGCGUAACGCGUGGGAAUCUGCCCUUUGGUUCGGAAUAACAGUUGGAAACGACUGCUAAUACCGGAUGAUGACGAAAGUCCAAAGAUUUAUCGCCAGAGGAUGAGCCCGCGUAGGAUUAGCUAGUUGGUGUGGUAAAGGCGCACCAAGGCGACGAUCCUUAGCUGGUCUGAGAGGAUGAUCAGCCACACUGGGAUUGAGACACGGCCCAGACUCCUACGGGAGGCAGCAGUGGGGAAUAUUGGACAAUGGGCGAAAGCCUGGUCCAGCAAUGCCGCGUGAGUGAUGAAGGCCUUAGGGUUGUAAAGCUCUUUUACCCGGGAUGAUAAUGACAGUACCGGGAGAAUAAGCUCCGGCUAACUCCGUGCCAGCCGCCGCCGUAAAAC
rnacentral:rRNA from 1 species